GAUCCUGGCUCAGGAUGAACGCUGGCGGCGUGCUUAACACAUGCAAGUCGAACGGAGGCAAGCUGGGAGUAAUCCCGGUUUGUCUUAGUGGCGGACGGGUGAGUAACGUGUGGGCAACCUGCCCUUUACAGGGGAAUAAUCAUUGGAAACGAUGACUAAUACCGCAUGACAUCUCCGAGAGGCAUCUUUUGGAGAGAAAAGGAGCGAUCCGGUAAAGGAGGGGCCCGCAUCUGAUUAGCUAGUUGG
rnacentral:rRNA from 1 species